rnacentral:lncRNA from 1 species
GAUAAGGCCGAAGUUUGAGGUAAACUAGUUCCCAAACUUCAAACUGGACAUCACGACGGUGCUUGUCAGCCUCCUGUUUCAUGCGCUGCUGUGCUUUAAAAAGGUGCACCUUCAACUCAGUCAACAUUUCACCUCGUUCCAACAAAAGUUGUUCCACAGAAGAACAAGGUGUCAGUCUUCUUUCAAGAGGCAAUAGGUGGGGAGGAUCACGGCCAUAUACUAUUUGAAAGGGAGAAUGUCUCAUUGCAGUAUGGAAGGAAGUGCUAUACCAGUACUCCGCCCAAUGCAAGAACUAAUUCCAAACUUGAGGCCUAUUUGAAGCAAAACACCCCAAGUAUGUCUCCAAGCAUCUGUUCAAGACUUCCGUUUGCCCAUCCGUUUGUGGAUGGUAGGCUGUGCUGUGAGCCAGGGGAGUCCCCUGUGCUUUAAAUAAUUCCGUCCAGAAUGUACUUAUAAAGAUCCGAUCUCUAUCCGAUACGAUAGAGCGAGGAAAGCCAUGCAAACGAACUAUCUCUUGACUGAAUUCCUCAGCAACUUAGGGGGCAGUGAAAGGGUGCUUUAACCCGAUGAAAUGACUAUGCUUACUUAGACGAUCCACUACAACCAGAAUGGUGUCAACUUCCCUCGAUCGUGGCAGUCCUUCGUUGAAAUCCAUGGAGAUAUCCUCCCAAAUGGAGUCGGGAAUCGGUAGAGGAAGCAAUAGCCCCCCAGGAGAUAAAGCCAUAUAUUUAUUCUGCCGACAUACCCCACAACUUGCCACAUAGUCCUUUACUCUCUUCUUCAUCCCUUGCCGAUAGACCUCUCUCGCAAUCCUCUUAUAUGUCUUAAGAAAUUCGGAGUGUCCUCCAAUCUUAGAGUCAUGGCAUUCUUGUAACUUAAGAGUGACAAAAUUGGAAUGGCUGGGAAGAACAACCCUCCCCUUGUAACAUAAUAUGCUGUUGAUCAAGUCAUAACCAUCUUAAACAAUGUUCCCAUUCUGCAGUUCAGAAACUAGUUUCCCUAGGAUACUAUCAGCAGCAACUUCCUUCUUGAUGUCUUCUAAUUGUAGCACUUUAAAAUGGUCAGAGCCAACAGAUUCAAAGCUGGCUGAAUUCUGGAAAGAGAAUCUGCAGCUUUAUUCUCUAACCCCAGCCGAUAUUCUAUGUUAAAGUUGUAGCCCAUGAUUUUAGUUAACCACUUUUGAUGCUCCUCGCUUACCAAACGCUAUUCCAACAAGAACGUCAAGCUUUGUUGGUCUGUUCGUACCACGAAGUGUCUGCCCAGUAAGUAAUGGCGGCAUUUUGUAUGGCGAACACGACGGCCAUCAAUUCUCUCUCAUAAACUAACCUUAGCCUGGUGCUCUAGGGAAGUACCUUGCUGAAAUAUGCAAUGGGGUGGCUAUUCUGCAUCAACACUGCCCCUAACCCAUGACCUGAAGUGUUUGUCUCAAUCACAAACUCCUGGGAGAAAUCCGAAAGUGCCAGAACAGGAAUACAGACCAUGGCUGAUUUUAAAUUCUGAAAAGCCUCCUCCGCUUUGUCAUCCCAUAAGAACUUGUCUUUCUUCAGUAGUUCAGUAAGGGGCCAUGCACUCUUGGCAUACCCUGAAACAAAGCAUCUAUAAUAGCCGGUGAGCCCCAAAAAUCCUCGAAGCUCCUUGAGAUUGCGUGGACUCGGCCAAUUAUACAUUGCCUCCAAUUUAGUCUAAUCUGCAGAAACACCGUUCUCAGAAAUAACAUGGCCCGGGUACUCAAUUUCCCGUUGACUGAACAAGCAUUUCUUCUCAUUGGCAUACAGCUGAUGUUCUUGCAAAAUCCCCAGUACUGUCCCCAAAUGUCGUUGAUGCUCUUCCAUCGACUGACUGUAAACCAAGAUGUCAUUGAAAAAGACUAGUACGAACUUCCGUAGAUAUGGUUUAAACACCUCAUUCAUCAAAUACUGAAAGGUUGUUAGUGCGUUUGUCAGCCCGAAGGGCAUUACCAAGAAUUCAUAAUGUCCUUCAUGAGUACGGAAGGCGGUAUUUGGUAUGUCCUCCAGCCGAACCCGAAUUUGGUGAUACCCUGAUUUCAAAUCUAACUUGGAGAAUGUCUGAGCUCCAUGUAAUUCGUCCAACAACUCAUCAAUAACUUGGAUCGAAAAACGAUCGGGUACAAUCACUUUGUUAAGAGCCCAGUAGUCUACACAAAACCUCCAACUACCGUCCUUUUUCUUCACCAAAAGGACAGGACUAGAAUAGGGACUGAAACUGGGCUGAAUAAUUCUUGCUGUCAACAUGUCUCUGACUAGCCUCUCUAUCUCAUUCUUUUGAACAUACGGAUAUCGGUAUGGCCUGACAUUUACUUGCCUUGCCCCAGGCUGUAGAAUGAUCACAUGAUCCCUCAAUCGUGGAGGAGGAAGUUCAUUAUGCCAUUCAAACACGCUCUUAUAUUUCCGCAGUAGUUCCCUAAUUGGGCUGGGAACCUCAGCUGUCUUCUCCGCAGCCUCUACUCUCAGACUUCCUAAUUCCAACAAGAUGCCCUGUUCUCCUACCUUGAAAGUUUUCACCAUCGAUUUUAAGGACACUUGCGUUUUAUCUAAAGUCGGGUCCCCCUGCAGUACAAUAGUUUCCCCUCCAGCCUUAAAACGCAUUGUUAGGGCUCCCCAGUUCACUUGCAUUUUCCCCAGAGUCUCCAACCAUUUCAUCCCUAGGAUUACAUCUGUAGAGCCAAGUUUUAGUGGUAAAAUUUUUUCGACUACCUCGAUUCCUAGCAGAGAAACCACCACCCCUUUACAAACUCCCUCGCCUUUAACAAAUAAUACAAUCCCCAGUUGGAUACCGAAACUGGCCGAACCUAUCAUUCUCAACCCAAGCUUCCGAACAAGUUCUUCGAAAAUGAAAUUAUGGGUAGAAAAAAUUUUGGUUUACGACUAUAGAUUUGCUUAUUCACCAUGUUCCUGGUUUGGUGCAUCCUAUUCUGGCUGCCAUGUGACUUUCCAUGUCCUGCAACAAUGGUGUUCUUAUUGGAUUGGAGAAAUAUUAGUUCUCUAUUUGUUUUCAACAGGAAUGAAAAGUUGAUAUUGGAUGUGUGGUGCGUUUGAUUUUUCAGCAUGCUGAUUUUAUUAGUGACUGUAGGAUAGUAGACCCACCCACUGGAGUAAGUGUCUUUACUAAGCUCAUGGAGACUCAUCUAUCUCCAAGCAUAGUUCAAUGACUUGCAUUUCUAAUUGAUUUGUCUUCUGGAUGGAACCUAGUGUAUCUUAGUUUGAUUAUUUAUUAAAGGUAAUGACUCUGAAGAAAAAAUUUGGGUUUCCCAGUGCUUUUCACGCUCUUCAAGAUGAGCAAUCCUCUGGAUUCUAUACUUCUAAAAUUGAUCGCAGAAAAAAAAAUCAUAUGCUAAAUGUUUUAAUCCAUGAUCAGAACCUUUUUUGUUUUAGAACCAGAGAAGAAAAUUCUUUAAAGAGUUUUGUACAGAAUAUUCACGUGCUUUAUUUCGUGAGGUAUAGGCAUUGAUUUUGUAUUCUAUUCCAUAGGUUGACAUUUUUCUCCCACCUGAUGAUGCACCAACCUUCUCAAUCUCUUCUUGACCAAAAUUUUGUGUUACUGGUUGGGAUUACAAAUUUGUUAUGGCAUAUCAAAAUGAUAUCUCUGACUAAUUUUCUCUUUCUGUCUCUGCUUUGCAGGUUGUUGAUUGUCGAGUUUGUGGCGAUCCACACUCCCGUCAUCGCUUUGCUUUUGUAGAAUUUGCUGAUGAGUGUAAGUCAGGUUUUUUCCUUUUUUUCUUCUAGCAUUGCCAACUUUUCUAACUUUCUCCAUGUGGAUUUAACAUUUACAGAUUCUGCUAGAGCAGCUCUUAGCCUUUGUGGGACACUGUUGGGUUUCUCUCCUGUUAAAGUCUUGCCUUCAAAAACUGCCAUUCUUCCUGUGAAUCCUACAUUCCUUCCCAGGGUAUGAGCCUCGUAGCCUGGAAGAUUCUUCCACUUGAUCAAAUGUCCAGACUUGCAGCAGUGUGGCCAGCAUUAGGGCGAACUCCCAAAAUUAUUUCUGGCUCCAAGAUGAAUUCCCCUGUAGCCGAGAGUUGUGGAGGAAAGGCAGAAAUGGGCUUAACACUACUAAUGGCCUUACGUAACUGGGAUAGAUGGAACACGGAAUGAAUAGCUGAUGAGGCAGGGAGUUUAAGCUUGUAUGUUACCCUUCCCACUUUCGAUUCAAUCUUAAAGGGGCCAUAGUAACGGGGGGACAACUUCUCAUUUAGGCGCUUAGCCAAGGAUUUCUGACGAUAAGGCCGAAGUUUGAGGUAAACUAGUUCCCAAACUUCAAACUGGACAUCACGACGGUGCUUGUCAGCCUCCUGUUUCAUGCGCUGCUGUGCUUUAAAAAGGUGCACCUUCAACUCAGUCAACAUUUCAUCUCGUUCCAACAAAAGUUAAGUGUUAUACCAGUACUCCGCCUAAUGCAAGAGCUAAUUCCAAACUUGAGG